rnacentral:rRNA from 1 species
GUGCCAGCCGCCGCGGUAAUACCGGCAGCUCAAGUGAUGUCCCAUAUUAUUGGGCCUAAAGCGUCCGUAGCUGGCCGACCAAGUCUCCCGGGAAAUCCACCCGCCCAACAGGUGGGCGCCCGGUGGAAACUGUGCGGCUUGGGACCGGAAGGCGCGACGGGUACGUCCGGGGUAGGAGUGAAAUCCCGUAAUCCCGGACGGACUACCGAUGGCGAAAGCACUCUGAGAAGACGGCUUCGACAGUGAGGGACGAAAGCUCGGGUCUCAAACCGGAUUAGAUACCCUAGUAGUCC